rnacentral:tmRNA from 1 species
GGGGGUGUAAAGGUUUCGACAUAUAUAAGCGAUUAUUUAAUGCAGUGGUCUGGUAAACCAUAAAUACUUCUAGGCUUUUCUAAAUGGAAAAGAAAAAACAAACGAAGACUACAGCGCUUUAGCAAUGAAUUCUUCAUUUAACUUAAAUCCUUCUUUCGCUUAAUAUUUAGCGGUUGGUCUUGUAGCAUUCUUCCCAAAGUGCUACAAUGUGGUAUUGGGAUAUGUAAAAGGACUCAGUUAAAUUUUGCAGAACUUCAACUGGACAAAUUAAACAACUGUUUGUAAUUUUAAGUUUUUAAUUUGUUGAAUAUAAAAAUUACUAAACUGUAGAUUUAAAUAAUAUGUUUAUGUGUGGACCCGGGUUCGAUUCCCGGCAUCUCCACCA